AUUUCCUGCAUCCCCCGAAAUCUCCACCUAUGAAUUUAAUAGCUGGUUUGGUGCCUAACGGCAGCCAAACUAACCGUUGGCCGGGUAGAAAUCAGCUUCCACAGACUGAUAACGUUAAAAAUACUUAGUUACCGACUUUACUUCGCCCAAAAUCUCGUACCCCCCCCCCCAUCGGCGACAUUUGUAUUUAAUACCAGCAGCCUUUUCCGGGAUCAUUUCCGUGUAACUGUUAGGAAAAACGUGAAAGAAUUGAACCGUAGAGGACGUUAAACCGUCUCCGCUUUGUUUUGAUUUUUCUUCUAGACUGUCGCGGAAUACUGCGCAUGCGCUGUGGGGGGAAAAUGCUCUUAAAUGGGCCCGCAGUUAGCUCCCAGGCUAACGGGCUGCAGAGAACAGUUAGCCAGGUAACUGUCUGCUGGCAUUAUGCUGUUUAGAUCAACACUACAGAGCCAACAAAGACGCUUUUAAUGGAUCGUCCUGCAGAGCAGCAGACGAGCCCCGUAGCUCGGUGAGAUUUCGGGGAGAGCUGAGGAUGUUUCCGGCUCCACGUGUGCCUGAAGAGAAAGAGCUCUUUGUUUGGACGACGUGUGGUGCUGACCCAGUUAAUCUGCACAGGAAACUCCAGCCACAAUACCAGCACAGGACGACGAAGAAACACACACACAUAUCCAGUUUUCAUUCAUCCUGCAUGUCAAGAUGUUAAACAGUUGCAUCAGAAAAGGUUUUAGAUAGAUAGAUAGAUAGAUAGAUAGAUAGAUAGAUAGAUGGAUAGAUGGAUGAGUAGAUGGAGAGAUACAUUACAGGUUCCAGUAGUUUAAAGACAUCACACACAACAUACACAUAGAUCAUAAACAGGAUGAUAAAAUAAGAAAUCCACAUGAAUAAUAUGGACAAUAAAAGACAAGAAAAGAUACUGAAUAAAAGGUCAGGUGCUCUAUGAGAGUGUGUUGUGGUAGUGCACAACAGUAAUAUAAAAACUCUAGCAGAGCAAGGAUAAAGUUUAAAGAAAGAGCAUUAAAUAUGGUUAUUAUAAGAGAAUAAAGUAGACUGUAGGAUAGACACAAAUCAACAGUCACUGUUGGAGGUUUGCAGUGAUAGUGUUACAGCCAUUGUCCAUUGUUUGUUGCUACAGUAAGUUACCCUAACGUGGAAUUGGCCUUGGUGAUUGUUGCAUACAUAACAUGUUAAACAUUAAUGACAUAAACAAAUAUACAUACAGUUAGGCCGGCUACACACUGGCUGCGUGGCGUUUCCUUUUUUUCCAAUUAUCUUUUUAUUAAUUUUUUACAUUUUAGUAACAUAAAGAGAACAAAAGAAAGAUAAAAUAAUA